rnacentral:rRNA from 1 species
UUUCCCUCAGGAUAGCUGGCACUCGCUUGAGCGAGUCUCAUCUGGUAAAGCGAAUGAUUAGAGGCCUUGGGGCCGAAACGACCUCAACCUAUUCUCAAACUUUAAAUGGGUGAGAUCUCUGGCUUGCUUGAACGUUGAAGCCAUGAGAUUAAUUUUUGUAAUGGAUCAGAGUGCCAAGUGGGCCAAUUUUGGUAAGCAGAACUGGCGCUGUGGGA